rnacentral:lncRNA from 1 species
CCCCCCCCCCCCUCCGGCUCAGAAGAAGACUUGAUAUGGUACCAUUAUACAACGUAGAGAUCUUUGUAUGGGCCUCACAAUACUAUCCAAAUUAUAGUGAAUAGUAAGACGCUUCUAUUACGUCACAAAAAUUCCUUAAAUAUUUAAUCCUUGCCCCCACACCUCUCCGCACAUAACAUGAUUUCAAAUAACUUCGAGCUGCUGCCAUCUAAGUUUUCUUAAUUUCUA